rnacentral:rRNA from 1 species
UAAGCAUAUCAAUAAGCGGAGGAAAAGAAACCAACAGGGAUUGCCCUAGUAACGGCGAGUGAAGCGGCAACAGCUCAAAUUUGAAAUCUGGCCCCCAGGCCCGAGUUGUAAUUUGUAGAGGAAGAUUCUGGCGAGGUACCUGCUGAGUCCCCUGGAACGGGGCGCCAUAGAGGGUGAGAGCCCCGUAUAGCAGGAUGCCGACCCUGUGUGAAUCUCCUUCGACGAGUCGAGUAGUUUGGGAAUGCUGCUCUAAAUGGGAGGUAAAUUUCUUCUAAAGCUAAAUAUUGGCCAGAGACCGAUAGCGCACAAGUAGAGUGAUCGAAAGAUGAAAAGCACUUUGAAAAGAGGGUUAAAUAGCACGUGAAAUUGUUGAAAGGGAAGCGCUUGUGAUCAGACUUGCGCCUGGCGGAUCAUCCGGCGUUCUCGCCGGUGCACUCCGCCAGGCACAGGCCAGCAUCGGUUCUCGUGGGGGGAUAAAGGCUCGGGGAACGUGGCUCCUCCGGGAGUGUUAUAGCCCCGGGUGCAAUGCCCUCGUGGGAACCGAGGUUCGCGCAUCUGCAAGGAUGCUGGCGUAAUGGUCAUCAGCGACCCGUCUUGAAACACGGACCAAGGAGUCAAGGUUUUGCGCGAGUGUUUGGGUGUAAAACCCGCACGCGUAAUGAAAGUGAACGUAGGUGAGAGCUUCGGCGCAUCAUCGACCGAUCCUGAUGUAUUCGGAUGGAUUUGAGUAAGAGCGUUAAGCCUUGGACCCGAAAGAUGGUGAACUAUGCUUGGAUAGGGUGAAGCCAGAGGAAACUCUGGUGGAGGCUCGCAGCGGUUCUGACGUGCAAAUCGAUCGUCAAAUCUGAGCAUGGGGGCGAAAGACUAAUCGAACCAUCUAGUAGCUGGUUACCGCCGAAGU